rnacentral:rRNA from 1 species
UACGUAGGGUGCAAGCGUUGUCCGGAAUUAUUGGGCGUAAAGAGCUCGUAGGCGGCUAGUCGCGUCGGCUGUGAAAACCUGAGGCUCAACCUCGGGCUUGCAGCCGAUACGGGCAAGCUAGAAUUCGGUAGGGGAGAGUGGAAUUCCACGUGUAGCGGUGAAAUGCGUAGAUAUGUGGAGGAACACCAGUGGCGAAGGCGACUCUCUGGUCUGUAACUGACGCUGAGGCGCGAAAGCGUGGGGAGCAAACAGG